AUGAGCUCAGCUUACCAUCCUGAAACAGACGGGCAAACGGAGCGUGUUAACCAACAAGUGGAGUGUUUCCUCCAUUGCUUUAUCAGCGCACAUCCAAGGAAAUGGGCACGUUGGAUUGCCCUUUGUGAAUUCUGGUACAAUACAAACUGGCAUUCGGCUCUGAACAAGUCCCCGUUUGAGGUGUUGUAUGGUCACAAUCCUCGUUACUUUGGCAUCUCAGUUUCAGAUACAGUAGCCCCAGUUGAUCUUCAUCAAUGGCUGGAAGCUAGAGCAGUGGUUCAACAGUCUGUUCAUCAGCACUUGCUUCGCACCCAGCAGCGGAUGAAAGCGCAAGCUGAUAAGAAGAGGACUGAGCGUGCCUUUACUGUUGGAGAUCUAGUCUUUCUCAAACUGCAACCUUAUGUACAAGCGACAGUGGCCCAUUGUGCUAAUCACAAGUUGGCUUUCAAAUUCUUUGGUCCAUUUGAGGUGCUGGAGAAGAUUGGUGAAGUCGCUUACAAGCUACAAUUACCCGAAGCUAGCAAGAUACACCCUGUCUUCCAUGUGUCCCAACUGAAGAAAUUCAUUCCUCCAAAUCACCAGGUAUCUAGCUCACUUCCUGCU
rnacentral:rRNA from 1 species